UACGGGGGGGGCGAGCGUUGUUCGGAAUUACUGGGCGUAAAGGGCGCGUAGGCGGUUCGCUAAGUUGGAUGUGAAAACUCUGGGCUCAACCCAGAGCCUGCAUCCAAAACUGGCGGGCUAGAGUAUGGGAGAGGGAAGUGGAAUUUCCGGUGUAGCGGUGAAAUGCGUAGAUAUCGGAAGGAACAUCAGUGGCGAAGGCGACUUCCUGGACCAAUACUGACGCUCAGGUGCGAAAGCGUGGGGAGCAAACAGG
rnacentral:rRNA from 1 species